GGCAUUAGCAUUUGGAAUGGUGUAUUUCUCAGUUGGAAUUGGAUACAUGUCUGGCCCUUCUAUUGCAGGAGCUAUAGUUGAUGGUGGAGCAACGUAUACAGAAACUUAUCUUUUUGCAGCAUCUAUGUUCCUGCUGUCUAGUGUAAUCAUUAUGGUCAUACCACUGGUCCACAACAGGGAUGUACACACUGUCUCGACGUUAAACCAGAAGAUGUCUGCAACAAAGUUGGCAGAGGAGACUGGGGAGGAAACAUGUGUGAUGUAUGGGUUGACAAGUUCCAGUUGAUAUUUG